UGCGCAGGUGGUUAUUUAAGACAGAUGUGAAAUCCCCGGGCUCAACCUGGGAACUGCGUUCGUGACUGAAUAGCUAGAGUGCGGCAGAGGGGGGUAGAAUUCCACGUGUAGCAGUGAAAUGCGUAGAGAUGUGGAGGAAUACCGAUGGCGAAGGCAGCCCCCUGGGUCAGCACUGACGCUCAUGCACGAAAGCGUGGGAGCAAACA
rnacentral:rRNA from 1 species